AAAUUGAAGAGUUUGAUCAUGGCUCAGAUUGAACGCUGGCGGCAGGCCUAACACAUGCAAGUCGAACGGUAACAGGAAGAAGCUUGCUUCUUUGCUGACGAGUGGCGGACGGGUGAGUAAUGUCUGGGAAACUGCCUGAUGGAGGGGGAUAACUACUGGAAACGGUAGCUAAUACCGCAUAACGUCGCAAGACCAAAGAGGGGGACCUUCGGGCCUCUUGCCAUCGGAUGUGCCCAGAUGGGAUUAGCUAGUAGGUGGGGUAACGGCUCACCUAGGCGACGAUCCCUAGCUGGUCUGAGAGGAUGACCAGCCACACUGGAACUGAGACACGGUCCAGACUCCUACGGGAGGCAGCAGUGGGGAAUAUUGCACAAUGGGCGCAAGCCUGAUGCAGCCAUGCCGCGUGUAUGA
rnacentral:rRNA from 1 species